UACCCGCUGAACUUAAGCAUAUCAAUAAGCGGAGGAAAAGAAACCAACAGGGAUUGCCUUAGUAACGGCGAGUGAAGCGGCAAAAGCUCAAAUUUGAAAUCGGCCACCAGGUCGAGUUGUAAUUUGUAGAUUGUACCUUGAGAGCGGAUCAAAGUCUGUUGGAACACAGCGCCUUAGAGGGUGACAGCCCCGUAGGAUCUAUUCUCAUUGUAAGGUACUUUCGAAGAGUCGAGUUGUUUGGGAAUGCAGCUCUAAGUGGGAGGUAAAUUCCUUCUAAAGCUAAAUAUUGACGAGAGACCGAUAGCGAACAAGUACUGUGAAGGAAAGAUGAAAAGCACUUUGAAAAGAGAGUGAAAAAGUACGUGAAAUUGUUAAAAGGGAAGGGUAUUGAAUCAGACGUGGUGCUGUUGUUCAGCUUUGCUUCGGCAUGGUGUACUCAGCAGUACUAGGCCAAGGUGGGGUGUUUGGGAGUGAAAAAGGAAUAGGAACGUAGCUCUUCGGAGUGUUAUAACCUGUUUUCAUAGCUCCUCAGGCGCCUCAGGACUGCGCUUCGGCAAGGACUUUGGCAUAAUGAUUCUAUACCGCCCGUCUUGAAACACGGACCAAGGA
rnacentral:rRNA from 1 species